rnacentral:sRNA from 1 species
CCCCACCCAGGUUGGAGGCAUCUCUGACACCAAUCAGAUCUUCGGCCUGAGCGAGACCGAACCCGGCUCCUUCCUGUAUUAUGCUCCCUUUGACGGCAUCCUGGGGCUGGCCUACCCCAGCAUUUCCUCCUCUGGGGCCACACCCGUCUUUGACAACAUCUGGAACCAGGGCCUAGUUUCUCAGGACCUCUUCUCUGUCUACCUCAGCGCCGAUGACCAGAGUGGCAGCGUGGUGAUAUUUGGUGGCAUUGACUCUUCUUACUACACUGGAAGUCUGAACUGGGUGCCUGUUACUGUCGAGGGUUACUGGCAGAUCACCGUGGACAGCAUCACCAUGAACGGAGAGGCCAUCGCCUGUGCUGAGGGCUGCCAGGCCAUUGUUGACACUGGCACCUCUCUGCUGACCGGCCCAACCAGCCCCAUUGCCAACAUCCAGAGCGACAUCGGAGCCAGCGAGAACUCAGAUGGCGACAUGGUGGUCAGCUGCUCAGCCAUCAGCAGCCUGCCCGACAUCGUCUUCACCAUCAAUGGAGUCCAGUACCCCCUGCCACCCAGUGCCUACAUCCUGCAGAGCGAGGGGAGCUGCAUCAGUGGCUUCCAGGGCAUGAACGUCCCCACCGAAUCUGGAGAGCUUUGGAUCCU